CACCAGUUCUACACACUGCUGGUUUUGUAUAUCUUAAUGGCGCCCCACACAUUAUAUACAAUUUUUGUAGCCAUUCAUUUUUCAAGAAUUAAACUGUAACUAAAACACCGCACAAUCAAUAGCUCUGAAUGCCAUGUUGCAGACAUCACACAACUGCACAGGCUGUGAGUGAAGCCAGUGUGGUGUUCAUUAACUUUAUAUUUUCAUUCUAUUCUGGUAAAUAAAGCACACAGAUAAAAUUGCAUGGCAACUGUCAAGGCACUUCAAUCACGAGUGGCCUUGUCUGCUAGGGCCUGUCCCAUUUUGCACUGCUCCAGCCAGGAGCAGAGGAGCCCCAGAUCUGGGCACCUCACUGGGCACAAGGCCAGGCUGGGAUGCAGACCUGGCUCAGUGGGUCCCAGGACCAGGCAGGCCUGUGAGGAGCUGAAGCCCAGCCCUGCUGCAGCAUCACUGAGGGAGCAGCUGAUGGGCCCAGGGUUGAGGGGGAGCCUUGGCCAAUGUAAGAAGACCCAAAGGGCUGCACAGGGACAUGAGGGACUGCUGGUGUCCCCAGGGUCCUCCUAGGACUUCAUGAGGCCUGCUGCAUAACAAGCAGAAGCAGGCAAGGAAAUGAAAAAUCCUUCUGUUUCCAACUUUCCCUCAAUACCUGAGAGGACCUUUACAACAGAGGAUCUUUUCUGGGCCACAGCUGCUGAAUGCAUCAAGUUUUUAAAUGCAAAAUGUUAGAAGAUCAGAAGCAUAGGUGGAUGGAUAGACUUCGACGUCCGUGCUGAGGGCGGCUUUUGAAAAAACUGCUAUAGUUCUCAACAGAUGGCUGCAUUAAAGAUGCAUGUCUAAUACUCUGUAUCAGCAUUAUAUACUGUUUGGUUAAGCUUUCAGUAAAGUAUUUGAUGCAGUUAAAAUCCCAGCAUAUGCACACUCACAUAACCCCAACACUAUUCCACAGAACAAUCAUACAGCUGAAGGAGCUGAUGACCAUCAACAUGAAGUUUCCCUUCUACUCAUUUAUUAAGCACAAACAGCUUUAUGAAAAAAAAAAAAUUGGCACAAGGAAUGCAAGUUUCCAUUAUCCAUCAUGUGGCUG